rnacentral:tRNA from 1 species
GGGGAUUAGCUCAGCGGGAGAGCAUUGGCUUUGCAAGCCAAGGGUCGAGGGUUCAAUCCCCUCAUCCUCCA